CCCUGACAGCGCCAUGAGGGUCUUCCAGAGGGGCUCCCAGCUCCUGGCGGCCACACUGCGGACCCCCCACGCCCCCCGCGCCCAGAUCAGGUCCCGCCCCCCCGAGGACCCGCUCUCUGCCGCCGAGCAAGGCAUCGCCUUGGCUGCAAUGUUCACCUCAUUCCUGCUGCCCACAGCCUGGGUCCUGGCCCACAUAGACCACUACAAGGCCAGGCCGGAGUGAGGAGUGGCAGGAGCAGCCUGUUCCCCGCUGAGAGAAUCCUGAGGGAAGAGCCCCCGGGACGGACCCUCUCUGGGAUGGAACCCCCCAGGCCUGUUCAUUAAAAUUCACUUUUGCAUUCAGCA